rnacentral:rRNA from 1 species
CCCUUUACACCGGUUGAUCCUGCCGGACCCGACUGCUAUCGGGGUGGGACUAAGCCAUGCGAGUCGAGCGCCCCGAGCCACGGCGGGGCGCGGCGGACGGCUCAGUAACACGUGGCUAACCUACCCUCGGGAGGGGGAUAACCUCGGGAAACUGAGGCUAAUCCCCCAUAGGCGGAGAGGCCUGGAAUGGUCCUCCGCUGAAAGGGUUCCGGCGCCAUGCCCGCCGGCGCCGCCCGAGGAUGGGGCCGCGGCCGAUUAGGUAGUUGGUGGGGUAACGGCCCACCAAGCCGAUAAUCGGUACGGGCCGUGAGAGCGGGAGCCCGGAGAUGGGGACUGAGACAAGGCCCCAGGCCCUACGGGGCGCAGCAGGC